CUAAAGUUAAGCAUCAUUGGGCGCGGUCAGUACUUGGGUGGGUGACCACCUGGGAACACUGCGUGCCGUU